CCCGCAACGAGCGCAACCCUUGUCCCUAGUUGCUACGCAAGAGCACUCUAGGGAGACUGCCGGUGACAAACCGGAGGAAGGUGGGGAUGACGUCAAGUCCUCAUGGCCCUUAUGGGUAGGGCUUCACACGUCAUACAAUGGUCGGAACAGAGGGUCGCCAACCCGCGAGGGGGAGCCAAUCCCAGAAAACCGAUCGUAGUCCGGAUCGCACUCUGCAACUCGAGUGCGUGAAGCUGGAAUCGCUAGUAAUCGCGGAUCAGCAUGCCGCGGUGAAUACGUUCUGUCUCUUAUACACAUCUCCGAG
rnacentral:rRNA from 1 species